rnacentral:tRNA from 1 species
AUUUUCAAAGGAUAACAGUAAUCCAAUGGUUUUAGGAACCAUUACUUCU